rnacentral:rRNA from 1 species
UACGUAGGGGGCAAGCGUUGUCCGGAUUUAUUGGGCGUAAAGAGCGUGUAGGCGGCCAGACCGGUCCGUUGUGAAAACUGGAGGCUCAACCUCCAGACGUCGAUGGAAACCGUCUGGCUAGAGUCCGGAAGAGGAGAGUGGAAUUCCUGGUGUAGCGGUGAAAUGCGCAGAUAUCAGGAAGAACACCCGUGGCGAAAGCGGCUCUCUGGGACGGUACUGACGCUGAGACGCGAAAGCGUGGGGAGCGAACAGG